CCAAGACACCGGCCGCCUCUUCUGUUCGUUUCCGUCGCUGCACGCGGCCGCGCGCCGUCAAGUUCGUCUCCGACAUCCGCGACCCCGUCGCCAAGAUCUCCGUCUCUGGCCGCCGCCCUUGCCAUGUUCUGCAAGCUGUCCCGGCGCCUCUUCGACCUGCGCUGCUGGUCGCGUGCUCCCAUGAACGCCACGGCAGCGAACUUGAGCCCGUGCGCUGCUCGUUUUCCUGGACGUCUGCGCUCCUCGCUGACAGGAAACCGGCGCUGCCUUCCUCGACCGCCAAGAGUUUCUCUGCAGCAGCCUCACCCCGCGAGCACAGUCCUCCAAAGCUCCAAGCUUUAGGCUAGCCCUUCCUCUGGUGCAAAACGUCCUAGGAGCCGCAGUCCAGUCAGCCGCCCCAUCAGCACUUCCUGGGUUCCGACUGUCUUUCUCUGCGGCUUGUUUUCCUCUCGCAUUUGCUUCUUCCCGGAUAGGAUCACGAAGAGGUGCGGUGAGAUACGACAAGUUCUCCGGAUGUUCCUCGGCAAGUUUUAACAGGCAAGCAUUUCCCUUAUAUUCCUGCCCCUGCAGAAGUCGCUCACCUAUUUUAUUUUGCCUUCUCCCUCAUGCUAUCCUUGAGUUGCAUUCUUGUCACGUGUCCCUUCCACUUGUUACCUCAAGCAGCCCAUAUUGCCACCACCAACCACCAACCUCCUACAGCUGUUGUUUGGUUAUCGGGUCUGCCUUGCGAGUCAUAGUGCAUGCUAGUGCUGUUUAUAUCGUGUUACCGUUAUCGCUAUCUUAUCGGGUUAUCUGUUGGGGAUCAUGACACAUGGUUAUAUCUGUUGAGGGAAUCAUGGUUACUUGUUAAUAGUUGUUAGCGGAGGCAUCGGUGGGUCAGCUGAUCGUUUUGUGACGGCUCACUUGUGUUUCCUAAAUAUCUUAGGACCCCGAGUUCUUGUUAUCUGUUCCGAGACUGAGCGCUCUAACCACACGUGGGUAUGUUUCUGGGUCUCCCCUCGACCACUGCCGGAAUCUACAGCUUUGUCCAGUGGCCACAACUAGUUUAUAUGUUUUACCAUUUGUUGUUGCGUGCAUGCCAGCUUGUUACUUAUUUACUUUGGGAAGCCCUGGGUGCCUUGUAUCCCUUGUUUCUGGUAUGCACGUAUAGGUUUGCGGCCUGAGCGUUUAUCGCAUGCUGAAGCGGGUCAUUCGCCCCUGUGUGUGUUUUGACCCUCGGAAGCCGUGCACGCAAUAGCUAGGUCCGCUUCGGAGAUUCGGCCGGACUUCGAUACGGGUUCAACUUAGUUAGGUGGCUUCCUAGACAUUGUUGUCGUGAAGGAGAGUGCGAGCCGUGAUAUCCACCUGUCGUAAGUGGAUCGAGCGGUGCGUGUGGGUACAUUUGGGCAACCCCUGCAGGGUGUACAUCUUAUCGAUAAGCCGUGUCCGCGGUUAUGGACGACUUGGAGCUGUAUGACUCGACCAUAGAAAACUUGCACGUGUUGUUUCAUUACUAAUAACUUGUGUAGUAAGAUAGAACAACUUAAAUAAUAAAUGGUUAAAACUUGUCAACAGUGUGAGUGCCCUUGUAAGUACUUCCUUGCGAGGGGGGAACGCAUCGGCUGUGUUAUGUUUGCAGAGUAUAGAACUGUUAGUUUAUGCGCUCUCUCACCCUCUCUGAUAGACGAAUGUUGUAGAGUGUCUCUAUAGGUUUUAGUGCUUGCGCGCUGCCGCUUAACCCCACCAUAUUGCCUAUGACGUUCCUCUUGCGUCCUCUAAGUCCCCUGCGUGCCUCAAGUACAAAGGACGACUGGUUGACGAAUGCUUAUACGUCUUGAAGUCUUGUUAAGUACGAACCCGUACUUAUUGUUGCUUCUACGGGACAUAACCGGGCAGGUAUGAAGAUAUGUUCGAUGAAGACGACGUUAGCAAGGUUACCUUCCGGCUUGGCCUGGGCAGGGUUAUGGACGCCAUCGUUUAUCUUCAGGACUCUUAGUCCAAUUUGUAUCUUGUCCGUACUCGGAUGUAUUUGAUCUUCUGUAUGAUUUGGAUCUUUGUAUUGUAUAUUUGUAUCUUGACUCGUUGGAGUCGUUGUUGUAAUAUAUGUUUCUUGUGGGCUCUAUUGUAAUCCUGUUGUAA